rnacentral:rRNA from 1 species
UGGGGAAUAUUGCACAAUGGGCGCAAGCCUGAUGCAGCCAUGCCGCGUGUAUGAAGAAGGCCUUCGGGUUGUAAAGUACUUUCAGCGGGGAGGAAGGUGUUGUGGUUAAUAACCACAGCAAUUGACGUUACCCGCAGAAGAAGCACCGGCUAACUCCGUGCCAGCAGCCGCGGCAAUACGGAGGGUGCAAGCGUUAAUCGGAAUUACUGGGCGUAAAGCGCACGCAGGCGGUCUGUCAAGUCGGAUGUGAAAUCCCCGGGCUCAACCUGGGAACUGCAUCCGAAACUGGCAGGCUUGAGUCUUGUAGAGGGGGGUAGAAUUCCAGGUGUAGCGGUGAAAUGCGUAGAGAUCUGGAGGAAUACCGGUGGCGAAGGCGGCCCCCUGGACAAAGACUGACGCUCAGGUGCGAAAGCGUGGGGAGCAAACA